GCAGAUUUUUAUCCCCAGUGGUGAAAUAGAAAGGAACAGAACAGAAUUGCUACAAUUCCUGUCACAGGCCAUGUCGGCCAUGACCCUGUGGUCAGAUUACGUCAUUGGAAAAUAAAAACUGAAGACCGAAAGCAACAGGAACCAUGAGGAAAAAAAUCACCAUGAGCCAGAACUCAUGUUUUUCUGGCUCAACAAAGUUUACACCAACAAACUAAAACAUCUUAGAAAGUUUACCUUGCAGACUGUAAAAAUUCAUCUAGUUCAAGAGUAUUUACAUUUUAAAUUACCUCGGUCCAGACUCAUCCCUCCAAGGAAAUGUAUGUCAUGAAGUCGCCCUGGCUUGAUCUACAUGGAUGAGAGGGAUUUAAAGGUAAUGAAGAAAAAGCCUGUACUUUUGGAGACCUAGAAUUUUAUUGAUGCUAAGAAGCUUUUGACUGCAAUUUCAUGUUCGGAUAUUUCCUGCUGGCAUCUCGGUGGUCACACGGAGCUCCCCACCCUCCAGUGAAGAUGGCUGUCCACUACUACCACCAUUGAAACCAAAACAGCAGGGGUGCCAACAAUGAAAUGCAGAUGGCCUUGGGAGACAGCGAUCCAGAACACCACACCCUGGAACCAGAGCUGGGAGCCUCCCCUCUCACAUCCCUCCAUCUCCCCAACUGCUACCCUAAAAAUUACAUAGGUAAUACAUGCCCAGGAUUUAACAUUU